ensembl:lncRNA
AUGAGUGGGGAUGAAGUCAGGACAAUGGAGGACAGGGGGUGCAGGCGGCCUCCCCCACCUCUCCCAGUAAGGAUGCAUCUUCCAACAGGAAGCUGCCCAGGACUCAGUAUCUGGCUGGAGCCAUGGUCUAACAGCUGUGUGGGCAUUAUAAAUCUCUCUCUUGGAGAUGAGGCUCCGAGGCUCUCGAUGGAUCCUGCUAAUGGUAAAUCUGUCAGUGCCCACAGCGCGAGACCUGGACUCAGAGCAUCAAGUGACAGCAUCCUGACCCAACCAGAGACCAGGGAGGAGUGUGGAGGAUUUACACAAAUGAACUCCAUCAGAGGAGCACUGGGGGCAGGAGUCCAGCACUUCCUGCUGGCAACAGAGAAGAGCCACAAAUGCCUCCACGAAGGGUGAAUCACAUGAAAUCCAGAUUUCUACCUUUAAGAUGGUAAAAACAGCACAGAAAACAGUGUCUGAAGGGCAAAAGGGCAAGGUUGAUGCUUAUAGUAAAACGACAAAACAAAACAGUCUGGCUUUGAAGGCCAACAGACCCAGGUCCUUAUCUCAGCUCCUCAGUCACCCAGUACAGCCCCUGAGUAGGUCUCUUUACCUCUCCAAGCCUUGAUUUCCUCAUCUGUAAGAUGGGAAGAGUUAGAUCCAUCCCACCCAAUGGUUAAAAGGAUUGAAGGGGACAAUUUUCAUAAAAUACUGUAGCACCCAAUGAACGCUCAGUAACUAACACUCGGCAAAUUCCUGACAAGUCUGGAAAUUAGAAGUGGAUUUUCGAAGUCUGCACACCAGAACAUAUAUGGUGAAGAAAGCAUACUCCUUCAAAGGAGGUCCCCGGGAAGCCCGACCCUUGGCCGGCUGGCCUGCCCGUGGAAUAGCAGCCCUGGCAGGGUACUUUGGGAACUGGCUGCUGAUGAGCCUUCGGCGCCUCAACAAUUUGUCCUGACUUUCCUCAGCGGCCAGCAGGUCCUCAGUCUUGGAGAGUGGACUGCUUUCUGGAUGGAGCCCAAGGUUAAAUGGAGCCAGGUCUGAUGAACAAGGUAGGAAGGAGAUGAAGCUGGCUGGGAUCACUUUGGAUGAGAAAAUAUCUUGAUUGCAAAAUAAUGAGCAGGGGUGACUUGGAGCCUUUCUCUGAAGGAAAUCCCCAGAGAGGAGUUCCAAAAGGGCUUUAAGCAUUGGGAGCUUUCCUGGAAUAAGUGAGUAAGUCCCUGGAGGGGUGGCUAUGGCAGGGGAAACACUUGUUUGGAAGGGCUAGUACUGGGGUAUUGGCGGGGGAGGGGUGUCUCUGUAUGUUACAGUUGUAUCUUGUAAGAUUCAUUCAUUCAACAUUUGAUAAGCAGUAGGGGCUCCCCUCGUGGCUCAGAUGGUAAAGAAUCUGCCUGCAAUGCAGGAGACCCUGGUUUGA